AGAAGGAAACAUAAAGGUUCUGUGAUUGGCUUGAAACUAGUUUAAGGGGGUUCAAUUCCCUGCUUUCUU
rnacentral:tRNA from 1 species